rnacentral:pre_miRNA from 1 species
ACAACAACAUUCGGACCGUCGGUCCACCGAGCAAUAUCACCCGCUCGGUGGAAGAUCUUCCCUUUGUCGUAUAUC